AGACCCAGGUGCUGCUGGGAGAGGAAUGAGCGUUGUAAAUGGUGAGCGGUGGUUACAGAAGCCUCUGUCCUUCCAUGCCGAGAGAAGUCCCACUGAAAAAUGACUGCAGUGUGCCACAGAUAAAUAAUUGAUGGUUUUGGUUCUGGUGAAGAUGGAAUAAGCACAAUACCCUAUCUCUGCGAUAGCAUGCAGCUCAAACCUUGGAUUGAAUGAAGCGACUGUCUAUGGACUCUGAAAAGUAGAUGAUGGCAGGAACACUGUAGGAGAUUAGAGCCCAAGUAAGAACAAUGCAGCCAUGAAGUUCUUGGAUUUGUUUUUCCUUUGGAAUCCUCUGGCCUGGAUUCAAAACAGCUUGAAACCUGAAAUUGCAUGCUUGAUGUGAAUAGAAUGAAUUCCAAGAGAAGGCUUCUCUUUCUCAUCAUCCUUUCACAAAAUAAUAAAGGAUGACUCAGAGGACAGAAUCAAGAGCCAAGAGCUGGAGCCAAGACCUGGAAGACUUGAAACCUAAUUGAGGAACUUCCAACAUUUUGCCUGGCUGGACUUCAGAACUUUGAUGGAUCAGUGACUCCUUUUUAAUCUUCCAUUUUUCCCCUUUUAAACCAGAAUGUCUACAGUUGUAAUGCUUCGCCUGCCCAACUAUUAUAUUUUGAGUAAGUUUGGGGCAGAUAACUUGUCUCUUUAUUUUCACGGAUCUACACAUGGAAAAGAGGAAUUAUGCCCUAAGAGCUACAUUUAAUAGAUUAGACUCAGGAGCCUCAUCUGUACCACCUUGACUUGAUUUAAAUAAAGAGAUUUUGGAUUUUCAGCUGAUGCUACAAUGGGAUGAAACUCUUGGGGACCUUGGGAAAGGAUGGAUGUAUUUUUUACACAGGAACUAGUAUGAAGCAUUGGAGACAGAGGGUGGACUCUGACAGGCAGACCCUGAGGUGAUCUCUCCAGUGACCCCUGUCUUCUGGUAUGCUCUUAUAUACCUCUCCCCUUAAGUGUGGAUGGGACUUGUGACUUCCUUUUAGCCUAUAGAAUAUGCUAAAGAUGACAAGAUGUCACAGCUGUGAUUGCAUUACAUUGUAUUAGACUCCAUCCUGCUAGCAGACUAAAGAUAUAGAGUCUCCUGCAGCAUUUGGUGAAGUAAGUAGUCAGGUUGACAAAGCUCACAUGACAAAUAGAAGCAGAUGGCCUCUAGGAUCUGAAGGUAGACUCCAGUUGAUUGUUAGCAAAAAGUUAUACAGCUGCAAGAAAAUAAAUUUUGCCAACAACAGGAAUGAACUUAAAAGUAGAUGCUUCCCCAGUCAAGCCUCCAGAUGAGAACACACCCUGACCAGCACUUUGAUUACAACUUUAUGAAGAACUGAGCAGAAGACCCACCUGAAUUGUGUCUGGAUUCCUGACCCAUAGAAACCAUGAGAUCAUAAAUGUACAUCUUGUUUCAGGUCAUUACAUUUAUUGUAAUUUGUUGUGCAGCAAUAGAAAAAUACAUGGAUUGAAAUACAUUAGACAGAAAAAAAGAUUGAAAAACAAAAAAAGGAAUACAGCCUCAAAAACCUGUUAGACAAAGCCAAAAAGUUUAAUAUUUAUGUCAUUGACAUCCCAGAAAAGAAGAGAAAGAUUGUGGUAGAUAAAAAAAUAAUUGUUUUGUAAUAGCAGCUGAAAUUUUCCCAAUAUUAGGAUUCAAAAAACUUGGCAAAUUCAAAUAAAGCCAUGUUCAAUGUAUCACAAUCAAACUGCUGGAAACUAUAGAAAAAAAAAAAA
rnacentral:lncRNA from 1 species